rnacentral:rRNA from 1 species
AGCGAACGCUGGCGGCAGGCCUAACACAUGCAAGUCGAACGAACUCUUCGGAGUUAGUGGCGGACGGGUGAGUAACACGUGGGAACGUGCCUUUAGGUUCGGAAUAACUCAGGGAAACUUGUGCUAAUACCGAAUGUGCCCUUCGGGGGAAAGAUUUAUCGCCUUUAGAGCGGCCCGCGUCUGAUUAGCUCGUUGGUGAGGUAACGGCUCACCAAGGCGACGAUCAGUAGCUGGGCUGAGAGGAUGACCAGCCACACUGGGACUGAGACACGGCCCAGACUCCUACGGGAGGCAGCAGAGGAGAAUCUUGCGCAAUGGGCGAAAGCCUGACGCAGCCAUGCCGCGUGAAUGAUGAAGGUCUUAGGAUUGUAAAAUUCUUUCACCGGUGACGAUAAUGACGGUACCCGGAGAAGAAGCCCCGGCUAACUUCGUGCCAGCAGCCGCGGUAAAAC